rnacentral:rRNA from 1 species
AACGAACGCUGGCGGCAUGCCUAACACAUGCAAGUCGAACGAGACCUUCCGGUCUAGUGGCGCACGGGUGCGUAACGCGUGGGAACCUGCCCUUAGGUUCGGAAUAACUCCCCGAAAGGGGUGCUAAUACCGGAUAAUGUCUUCGGACCAAAGAUUUAUCGCCUUUGGAUGGGCCCGCGUUGGAUUAGCUAGUUGGUAGGGUAAAAGCCUACCAAGGCGACGAUCCAUAGCUGGUCUGAGAGGAUGAUCAGCCACACUGGGACUGAGACACGGCCCAGACUCCUACGGGAAGCAGCAGUGGGGAAUAUUGGACAAUGGGCGAAAGCCUGAUCCAGCAAUGCCGCGUGAGUGAUGAAGGCCUUAGGGUUGUAAAGCUCUUUUACCCGGGAUGAUAAUGACAGUACCGGGAGAAUAAGCGCCGGCUAACUCCGUG